GGUGGGCUUGGAAUGAUAAUGGCAAACACAGCAGAUAGUGGUGAAGAGCUCAUUGCUGACUCUCAUCUUCUACCGGCUACUAUGGUUGGCGAAAUUGCUGGCAAUCAGAUUCUUCAAUAUAUCAAAUUGAGUCAAUAUCCUACUGCGACAAUCGUUUUCCGCGGAACAGUAAUUGGGACUUCACCACCUGCUCCUAAAGUUGCAGCGUUUUCCAGCCGUGGUCCAAACCAUUUGACACCACAGAUUUUGAAGCCAGAUGUUAUAGCUCCUGGAGUUAAUAUCCUGGCUGGCUGGACGGGAGCUUCGGCUCCAACAGAUUU
rnacentral:misc_RNA from 1 species